rnacentral:rRNA from 1 species
UACGGGGGGGGCAAGCGUUGUUCGGAAUUACUGGGCGUAAAGGGCUCGUAGGCGGCCAACUAAGUCAGACGUGAAAUCCCUCGGCUUAACCGGGGAACUGCGUCUGAUACUGGUUGGCUUGAAUCCGGGAGAGGGAUGUGGAAUUCCAGGUGUAGCGGUGAAAUGCGUAGAUAUCUGGAAGAACACCCGUGGCGAAGGCGGUUCUCUGGGACGGUACUGACGCUGAGACGCGAAAGCGUGGGGAGCGAACAGG